UGCUCCCUGGUAAAGUUUGUGUACAAAAGUGAACUACAUGCUUUUCUUCUACAAAUGCAUUAGUCAGAACACCUGCAUGUAUUAGAACAAACAAUUAUCACCCCCUCUCAUCUUAAGUAUGAACAUUUAAAGUAACUGAGUUAUUAGUACUCUUGCCUCCAUAACUAUGCUUAGUGUCAUUGAUUUUUUUGUUUGCAAAUCUAUGCCUCUUUUAUAUUAUUCACAUCUCCUAUUUACUUCCAUAUUAGUAUUAUAUAAGCUCAUUUGCGUACUCGCUCAUGCUAACAGCUGCUGUCUCAGUUUCCCUUACUGACAAAAAGCUGACAUAAUGCUGCAGUAUUACCUCAAUCACACUUCUAGUAGAAGUGGAAAAAAAGUGUCCUUUAAGGAAGAAGAGAAGAGAAAUUGCAGAAGAAAAUCAGAAUGACUUAGUUUGACCUUGCAAAAGAUAGGCAUUUGCUGUAUUUCCAAGUUAAAUAAGUUACUACAGAACUUACUAGUUUUCUUCUUAUUAGAAGAGAAACAGCAGUUCUCUAAGGUUCUGAUAAGCUCAUUUCUUAUUCACAAUUCAGGGUAAAUGACUGUUUAAAGAACCAAAUCCAGUAUCAGAAUAAUAAAUUGUCCAACAGAGGAAUUAGAAUCUUCCUUCUUUACCAUCUUCUGUAGUAUUUUCAAACUAUCCUUUAAGCUACAGGCAGACCUUCAAAACUACUCACAAGUCAAUUCAGCUACCUAUAUCAGCUACCUCUGGCUACCUAUAUAUACUAUAUCACAGAGAUCGGUGCAUUAUCCAGGGCUACCACUCAUGCUCAUCCAAAAGUGAAGUACAUGUAAUGAGCCUGCAUGCUGUACAAAGAGUUUAUGUGCAUUCAGUCAGAAAUGGAUAUAUUUGCCUUCCUCCAUCAAUUCCGAAGUAAAUUGGAAAGUGACCAAUAAUUUCACAUUACUUUUUAUUUCACACACCAGUGUUUACUAAACGCUUUGUUUUAACCAAUGUAAUUUUGUUUCAUUACAGACCUGCAUUUUUUUUAAUCAAAUGUGAAGAGCAACACUGAUUAAAAUGCAAGGAAGAUCUGUACUUCAUACAAAAAAAAAUAAAGAUGUGUAAAAUAUUACAAUGCAUGGAAAAUGAAAGAUGCUGAAAAUUAUUAAGAUUUUAUUUCUCGAGUUUAAAAGAGUUAGAGACUCUGAAACAGAUUUUUAUCCAUACUUUCAAUUUAUUUAGUUAAUAAUAAUUUGCCUAUGAAGUUGUUGAACCAAGUACUUCUUUACUAUUGACUAUAGUAACAGUCACAACGAAGUAGUUUGCUGUAAUCAAAGUCAUCUCGUCAAACACAAAAACACAUAGUAGGCUUCAAAUGCCAUGGAUAGUAGCAUAGAUACUUUAAUAAAAAUGAUUUCUUACCUCCUGAAAGAUAGCAACAUCUUUAAAAUAAAGGAGCCAAAUAAUCGUAAAUAAUCACCACAGAAUUUAAAAAUAACUCAUAAUAAAUUGUGAAAUUCUUGUAAGAUUAAGAAGCACAGCAUGUUUUAGUUAAAAUUUCACUUGUACUGAAUACUUGGACCCAUGUGGAAUAGAAAAAGCGUUGCUCAUCUGGAGUUGCUUAAUAAUUUUCCCUUUCUUCAUUUUAUUUUGAAGAUACUCAGGUUGUAUUUCAGACAAUAAAACAAUGCCUUGCAAUCAUACCAAAGUUAGCUGUGGUCUCAGAAGCAGCAACGCUUUUAUAACCACAGGCUAAUUAGCAGUCCUGUUGUAGCAAUUACAUAGCAUUUCAGUUAGGCUAUUUAACCUUGCUCCUGGGCAUUAAUGAGCAUUACAUUAAUGCAACUACAUAGAUGCUGAACCAAAUAAAUCAGCUACCCAAUUGUUGGCUGCAGUGCUCAAAACAACAUUCUGACAGGUUAGCACCUUCUCAUUCUACAAGCUUAAAACAGAGAUUAAAUUUGAUAUGAGAAAAGCAUCCACCAGGAUGAGCUGAGAUUGUCAUUGUUUUGUUACAUGAAGGAGAACAGAUUCUGCAACAAUUGCUGAGAGACUUGAACUCACAUGAAUCCAACAUGUUAGCACAGCAGAUAUGCGAUUAGAGAAAGUUAAACUGCAUUUGAAAAAUCCUUGGACAGAUAGGGGAAACAAACUAGAAUCUCUCACUGUCUGCUACUGUGACCACUGAAUUAUCAAAUCAGAUUUAUAUAACCUUCCUGGUCUCUUUAGCUCAAAUCUCUGUGAUUCAAGGCUGAGAAACCGUCAGAUA
rnacentral:lncRNA from 1 species